UUGCCAUAAUAUGAUGUGAAUUAA
rnacentral:miRNA from 1 species